CCCGGCGAUAAAUCGCCGGGCUAUUUUCGGAUGUCCCUUCGGGACA
rfam:Desulfobacteraceae bacterium IS3 Ga0073107_10859, whole genome shotgun sequence.